GGCACGGCCGAUGCCCAGGUGGAACAUUGCCUCUCUGGUCACCUCGAAGCAGUCCUCUGAAAAGCCAAACAGGGCUCUUGAAAAAGCCAAGCACACAAAGAGGGGCAAGCAGAACAUCUCAGCACAGCCAAUCCAGCUGGAAUGGUCAGUGGGGAGCAGGGAAGCUGUUUGGGUAAAUCCCACACUCAAACUGCAGAACCAACCCACUGUUUUUUUCUGUCAGAUGAGGCACAAGCAAAGACAAGACAGUUUCUAAACAAAGCCACAGAGAUGCAAAUUUGCCAGGCCAGAACCAGCUGGUUUAAGCCAGGUGACUGAUUUUAAGCUUUAAGACUUAAUAGUGCCAAGUGAAACUUAGAAAGAAUCCCAUUAAUGCAGGUGGCUUUGCAAAACAUCUGCUGUUGGCUGCCCAGGGGAUUGAUUGAACAGGAUGUCUUUUGCCGGCCUCCCUUUAAAGUUCCAGCCAUUAUUAAUGGAUUGAUUAAUUAGUUAGUGAAGGUAAUCUUUACCCUCUAAGUUUCUUUCAGAAUUUGGCAGCCAGCGGUACUCAGCCCCUUCUGGAAGGUUCCACUCCAGCCUCUCCUCUGCAGUAGCACCUUUUGUGAUCUGGAGACAGAAAACAAGGGUGCAGGCGUUCCCUGGGACAGACACAGACAAUCAGAGUGCUCCCACUCUGCCAUGCAGCACAGGAAUACAGUUUCAUUGCCUUUUGGGGAGAUAACUGAGGCAGCAACAGAGGCAUAGAACUUCAUCAGGCAGCGAGAGGUCCAGGUCUGCAAGGGAGAGAUGUGACAGUAGCUCUUUGUCUUUUAAUAUGCCAUCAGUUCUGGCAGUGGAGCAGUGCUGCCUCCUGCAAACACGUGUGCAGGUGGAGGGGAGGCUAAGGAGAGGAACUGUGUCAGGUUCAGAGCUCUGGUUCAGUGCACUCUCUGUGCCACAGACACACAUCUCAGUGCUGCUGCAGUGGGAGUGCUCCACCAAGGUGUCACCAUCUGGAAGCUCAGCCAGAAUGAACAGCUACUGCCUUGGGAUGGAAUGAAUGUGAAUGGAUUUUGAGCCAUUAACAUUCAGCAAAGCAGCUUUAAAAUACCCUCAGCAUUGUCCCAGCAGGGAUGGACCAUCACAGGAGGGCCAGGGCAGGAGCUGAAUCCACUGCUCUGAGUCUUUACAGAGGGUUUGCUGAGACUCACAGAGCUCCCUGACAGACCAGGCUGAGGCAUGAACUCAGGUGCAAUUCCUGCUGAAUGAUUCAAACCCAGCCCUCCAGAAAUGACAGAUGUCACCUGAAGAGCUGCUAUAUUAAGCAGAGUGUGUUUAACUGCAGCAAUCACUUACUGCUUCACACACAUUUCAAGAGAGUCGUGCUGGGCAGAUUGGCUACGUGCUGUGUCAGAGGGAUUUUAAUUCAUCUUUGCUCAUUCACUGCACUACUCUGCACUACAAAUCACUGGCAGAGCUCAAAACUUGAGAGCAAUGUCACAGAAAAACAUUUCCUUACCUUCCCAGCACCACUUUCUCCACUCACAAUGAUGGACUGGUUCACAGGGUCCAUCUGCUUUUGGACAUUCCUGUAGGUUUGCUCAGCCACUGCAAAGAUGUGAGGCUUUAAAUCCUGGCAGUGAAAGAGAAUAUUCACAUUUAAGAGUACAAUAACCACACAGUUCAACAGCAAUGGAUAGCAAGGGUCAUGUCAAAUUCACCUGAAAACAGCACUGCUCUUCUAACAGAACUAAUAUUCCACAAGAAAUGGGGUUUAUCCUGUGGGAGUAUUUUCUCAGAUAAAUUUGGAGCAGUUUGACACCUGGGCUCUGCAGAAGGUCAGUGAUCUCACACACAAGGGUUACCUGAGG